GACGAACGCUGGCGGCGUGCUUAACACAUGCAAGUCGAACGGAAAGGCCCUGCUUUUGUGGGGUGCUCGAGUGGCGAACGGGUGAGUAACACGUGAGUAACCUGCCCUUGACUUUGGGAUAACUUCAGGAAGCUGGGGCUAAUACCGGAUAGGAGCUCCUGCUGCAUGGUGGGGGUUGGAAAGUUUCGGCGGUUGGGGAUGGACUCGCGGCUUAUCAGCUUGUUGGUGGGGUAGUGGCUUACCAAGGCUUUGACGGGUAGCCGGCCUGAGAGGGUGACCGGCCACAUUGGGACUGAGAUACGGCCCAGACUCCUACGGGAGGCAGCAGUGGGGAAUAUUGCACAAUGGGCGGAAGCCUGAUGCAGCAACGCCGCGUGCGGGAUGACGGCCUUCGGGUUGUAAACCGCUUUCGCCUGUGACGAAGCGUGAGUGACGGUAAUGGGUAAAGAAGCACCGGCGAACUACGU
rnacentral:rRNA from 1 species